UUCUCCUGGUGACAAGCCUACAGGCACAGCCAGUUGGGACCAAAAGCUCUCACACUCUCCUAAUCAAGGACUUAAAGCCCCGAUUGGAGCUUAUAAAUAUGAAGUAGGGCUUUACAUAUGCAGUCCCACUGGCCCAGCUAGAGACCGGAUUGGUCGGGCAUCAGCCAAUCAGCGCCGGAGAGAACAGAGGCUGCACAGAUUGAGCGGAGCUCGGCAGGUAGAGAAGGGUGGAGGGAACGGAAAACUGAGUACGCCGAUCUAAACGAGGCAACGUUUUAAACGGGGCUUCAAAAGCACGACUCUUAACUCUGAUUAGCUUUAAUGACAAAUGCUUUCUGCUUCGUAAAAGUACACUUGGCAGGAAGAAGUGCAGCCUCAGUUAUGUGUGUGAAGAUUUCAUCAUAAGACACCUUGCAAGCAUCUGUCUUCGCUGAUGGUGUUGCUGCUUAGAAGACCACAGCCGUGGCAUGAUAAUUUAUGCAUUAAUGAGAGGCAGUUGGCCUUUUCUCCUGGGACUGAAAAAAAUGUCACCUCUGCUAGACCCGGGCCUGGAAUUUCAACUGCAUUCUUGAACUUCAGUUUGCCAGCCACUGUUCAAUUAUUUUAAUAAAAGAAGAAAUGAAUGAGGCAAAGUUACCAGA